AGCAGCCGCGGUAAUUCCAGCUCCAAUAGCGUAUAUUAAAGUUGUUGCAGUUAAAAAGCUCGUAGUUGAAUUUCGGGAUUGACACAUCGGUCGUGCCUUAAGGGGUAUGAACUGGUGUAGUCAAUUUCUCACCUUCUGGAGAAUCGCGAUGCCCUUAAUUGGGUGUCACGGGGAACCAGGACCUUUACUUUGAAAAAAUUAGAGUGUUUAAAGCAGGCAUUUUGCUUGAAUACAUUAGCAUGGAAUAAUAAAAUAGGACGGCAUGAUUCUAUUUUGUUGGUUUCUAGGAUCACCGUAAUGAUUAAUAGGGAUAGUUGGGGGCAUUAGUAUUCAAUUGUCAGAGGUGAAAUUCUUGGAUUUAUUGAAGACUAACUACUGCGAAAGCAUUUGCCAAGGAUGUUUUCAUUAAUCAAGAACGAAAGUUAGGGGAUCGAAGACGAUCAGAUACCGUCGUAGUCUUAACCAUAAACUAUGCCGACUAGGAAUCAGACGAUGUUAAUUUUUUAAUGUA
rnacentral:sRNA from 1 species